rnacentral:rRNA from 1 species
CCUACGGGAGGCAGCAGUGAGGAAUAUUGGUCAAUGGACGAGAGUCUGAACCAGCCAAGUAGCGUGAAGGAUGACUGCCCUAUGGGUUGUAAACUUCUUUUAUAAAGGAAUAAAACGAGGCACGUGUGCCUUUUUGCAUGUACUUUAUGAUUAAGGAUCGGCUAACUCCGUGCCAGCAGCCGCGGUAAUACGGAGGAUCCGAGCGUUAUCCGGAUUUAUUGGGUUUAAAGGGAGCGUAGAUGGGUUGUUAAGUCAGUUGUGAAAGUUUGCGGCUCAACCGUAAAAUUGCAAUUGAUACUGGCAGUCGUGAGUACAGUUGAGGUAGGCGGAAUUCGUGGUGUAGCGGUGAAAUGCUUAGAUAUCACGAAGAACCCCGAUUGCGAAGGCAGCUUACUAAACUGUGACUGACAUUGAUGCUCGAAAGUGUGGGUAUCAAACAGGAUUAGAUACCCGAGUAGUC